CCGGCGACCGGCGCACGGGUGGGUAACACGUAUGCAACCUGCCCUCUUCAGGGGGACAACCUUCCGAAAGGGAGGCUAAUCCCGCGUAUAUCGGUUUCGGGCAUCCGAGAUCGAGGAAAGAUUCAUCGGAAGAGGAUGGGCAUGCGGCGCAUUAGCUAGACGGCGGGGUAACGGCCCACCGUGGCGACGAUGCGUAGGGGUUCUGAGAGGAAGGUCCCCCACACUGGUACUGAGACACGGACCAGACUCCUACGGAAGGCAGCAG
rnacentral:rRNA from 1 species